AACUUUAUGUUUCGUCGCUACUUCUUAGAGGGACUUGUGUGUUUACACAAGAAGCUGAGCAUAACAGGUCUGUGAUGCCUUAGAUGUUCUGGGCUGCACGCGCGCUACACUGACACGAUCAACAAGUAUUUCCUUGCCCGGUAGGGUUAGGGUAAUCUUUUGAAAUCGUGUCGUGCUAGGGAUAGACGAUUGCAAUUAUUCGUCUUCAACGAGGAAUUCAUAGUAAAUGCAAGUCAUCAGCUUGCGUUGAUUACGUCCCUGCCCUUUGUACACACCGCCCGUCGCUCCUACCGAUUGAGUGAUCCGGUGAGCUGUCCGGACUGCGAUUAGUUCAGUUUCUGUUCUCUUCGCGGGAAGUUCUGCAAACCUUAUCACUUAGAGGAAGGAGAAGUCGUAACAAGGUUUCCGUAGGUGAACCUGCGGAAGGAUCAUUC
rnacentral:ncRNA from 1 species